rnacentral:rRNA from 1 species
UACGUAGGGUGCAAGCGUUAAUCGGAAUUACUGGGCGUAAAGCGUGCGCAGGCGGUUAUGUAAGACAGAUGUGAAAUGCCCGGGCUUAACCUGGGAACUGCAUUUGUGACUGCAUGGCUAGAGUUUGGCAGAGGGGGGUAGAAUUCCACGUGUGAGCAGUGAAAUGCGUAGAUAUGUGGAGGAACACCGAUGGCGAAGGCAGCCCCCUGGGUCAAGACUGACGCUCAUGCGACGAAAGCGUGGGGAGCAAACAAG